UCCGCGACACACUUUUCCUCUUCUCACCUGCCCCACAGCUUGGAUUUAUGUUCUUCGACAGCUACUCUGCCUUCGCUGCUUGCCAAAUAAAUGGUGUGAAUAUUCAACAGAUAUCAACAACCCGGACAGUCUUUCACUUGCACUUAUAUCAACUUGGCAGCAUGCAUGGUAUUUAUAAAAACACCAUAUAGCUCAAAAAUAGAAAUUGCACAUUCGUCGUAGGGGGUCCAUCUGUGAACUGUCAGAACUGUUCUCUUGUGUGUGUGUGUGUGUGUGUGUGUGUGUGUGUGUGUGUGUGUGUGUGUGUGUGUG